GCCCUGGUGGAUCAACGUAGAUCAGCCCUGAUUCUUACGCCCAUUCCGCACACAAAGUCUGGGGCAGAUGGAGGUUCGAAUCCUCCCUAGGGCA